rnacentral:rRNA from 1 species
UGUACAAAGGUAGCAUAAUCGUUAGUUUUUUAAUUGAGAACUUGUAUGAAUGGUUGAAUGAGAAAUAGACUUUUUUAAUAGAAAAAUUGAAUUUUACAUUUUAAUUAAAAGGUUAAAAUUAUUUUAAAAGACGAGAAGACCCUAUAGAGUUUUAUAAUUUAUGUUUAAUAUUUUAAAAAAAUUAAUUGAUAUUUUUAUUUUAAUAAAUUAUUUUGUUGGGGUGAUAAUAAAAUUUAAUUAACUUUUAUUUUUUUAUACAUUAAUAUAUGGAAAAUUGAUCCAUUACUAAUGAUUAAAAAAUUAAAUUACCUUAGGGAUAACAGCGUAAUUUUUUUUUUAAGUUCAUAUUAAUAAAAAAUUUUGCGACCUCGAUGUUGGAUUAAG